UACAGAGGUCUCAAGCGUUGUUCGGAUUCAUUGGGCGUAAAGGGUGCGUAGGCGGCGAGGUAAGUCGGAUGUGAAAUCCCGGGGCUCAACCCUGGAAGGCCGGUGGAAACUGUCGGGCUAGAGUCCGGAAGAGGCGAGUGGAAUUCCCGGUGUAGCGGUGAAAUGCGCAGAUAUCGGGAGGAACACCAAUGGCGAAGGCAGCUCGCUGGGACGGUACUGACGCUGAGACGCGAAAGCGUGGGGAGCAAACAGG
rnacentral:rRNA from 1 species